rnacentral:rRNA from 1 species
AGUGAACGCUGGCGGCGUGCUUAACACAUGCAAGUCGAACGGAUGAAAUAAGCUUGCUUAUUUCGUUAGUGGCGCACGGGUGAGUAAUGUAUAGCUAACCUGCCCUUUAGUGGGGGACAACAGUUGGAAACGACUGCUAAUACCCCAUAUUCCUUCUUAUCAUAAGGUAAGUUGGGAAAGAUUUAUUGCUAAAGGAUGGGGCUUUAUGGUAUCAGCUAGUUGGUGGGGUAACGGCCUACCAAGGCUAUGACGCCUACCUGGUCUGAGAGGAUGAUCAGGCACACUGGAACUGAGACACGGUCCAGACUCCUACGGGAGGCAGCAGUGGGGAAUAUUGCACAAUGGAGGAAACUCUGAUGCAGCAACGCCGCGUGGAGGAUGACGCAUUUCGGUGUGUAAACUCCUUUUAUAAGGGAAGAUAAUGACGGUACCUUAUGAAUAAGCACCGGCUAACUCCGUG